rnacentral:rRNA from 1 species
UGGGGAAUAUUGCACAAUGGGCGCAAGCCUGAUGCAGCCAUGCCGCGUGUGUGAAGAAGGCCUUCGGGUUGUAAAGCACUUUCAGCGAGGAGGAAGGUGGUGAACUUAAUACGUUCAUCAAUUGACGUUACUCGCAGAAGAAGCACCGGCUAACUCCGUGCCAGCAGCCGCGGUAAUACGGAGGGUGCAAGCGUUAAUCGGAAUUACUGGGCGUAAAGCGCACGCAGGCGGUUUGUUAAGUCAGAUGUGAAAUCCCCGGGCUCAACCUGGGAACUGCAUUUGAAACUGGCAAGCUAGAGUCUCGUAGAGGGGGGUAGAAUUCCAGGUGUAGCGGUGAAAUGCGUAGAGAUCUGGAGGAAUACCGGUGGCGAAGGCGGCCCCCUGGACGAAGACUGACGCUCAGGUGCGAAAGCGCGGGGAGCAAACAGGAUUAGAUACCCUGGUAGUCCACGCUGUAAACGAUGUCGAUUUUGGAGGUUGUGCCCUUGAGGCGUGGCUUCCGGAGCUAACGCGUUAAA